rnacentral:rRNA from 1 species
GACGAACGCCGGCGGCGUGCUUAACACAUGCAAGUCGAACGGUAAGGCGCUUUCGGGCGUACACGAGUGGCGAACGGGUGAGUAACACGUGAGGAACGUGCCCUUGACUUUGGUAUAGCACUUGGAAACAGGUGGUAAUCCCGAAUAUUCAGUUUCCCGGGCAUCCGGGUUGUUGGAAAGUUUUUUGCGGUCAGGGAUCGUCUCGCGGCCUAUCAGCUUGUUGGUGGGGUAGUGGCCCACCAAGGCCUUGACGGGUAGCCGGCCUGAGAGGGCGACCGGCCACAUUGGGACUGAGAUACGGCCCAGACUCCUACGGGAGGCAGC